UACGAAGGGGGCUAGCGUUGCUCGGAAUUACUGGGCGUAAAGCGUGCGCAGGCGGUUGUGCAAGACAGAUGUGAAAUCCCCGGGCUCAACCUGGGAACUGCAUUUGUGACUGCACGGCUGGAGUGCGGCAGAGGGGGAUGGAAUUCCGCGUGUAGCAGUGAAAUGCGUAGAUAUGCGGAGGAACACCGAUGGCGAAGGCAAUCCCCUGGGCCUGCACUGACGCUCAUGCACGAAAGCGUGGGGAGCAAACAGG
rnacentral:rRNA from 1 species